GGAGGAGUAUACAUGGCUUGAACAGUUCUCCGAGCAAUAUAAGAGUGAUAAUUCUUUGUGGUUAUUUCCAAAUUUCUCCUAUUCUCUUGCUGUGUGCCGAUACUAUGUCGAAAAUGAUGAACAUGCUAAAGAGAUAAAGGCUGAAGAUUUAAAAGCUUCUUCAGUAGAUCUUGUGAAGCAGGCAUUGAUGCUACAUCCUUCAGUCUUGAAAAAGUUGGUGACGAAGGUACCUUUAAAGGAUAGAGCCUGGACUAGCAUAAUCAAACACAAUUUCUUUAGCUCUGAUCAAACUGGGACACCCUCCUUAGACCACUUGAUAAACAUAUAUGUCGAAAGGAGCUACAUUAUAUGGAGGCUUCCUGACCUCCAGAAGUUUCUCAGGGAUGCCGCACUUUCGGUGAUUGAGACACUGCAGAAUGAUGGGACUUAUGCCAGAGACUGGACAUGUGUGAGAAAAGAAGCGUUUUCAUCUGAGAAAAAUGAGUAUUCUCACUUGCUGGUAUCAGAUUUUUCUGAUUCAGUUCCGACUUUGCCUCCUGAUAACUUGCAAAAUUUCAUGGUUGACCCAAGGGGAGAGGUGCCAAAUGAUGCACAGCCUGCAAACCACCGUGUCCAAGAUCUGACAGAUCGAAAUGCAAUUGCUGUCUUGCUCGAGUCUAUGUUACCGUGGAUUAACUAUGGUUCAGGCCAUGAUCAGCCUGAACAUGAUGAGCAGGCCAAUGAAGGAUAGUUUUCUUUCAGUGAGGUAUUAAUUUCAUCCAAUUUGGUAUCCGGAAUUGCUCCGCAAGCAUAGUUGUCUUUUAUAUCCAACUUAUUUAGUGAUUGGUACUUUUUUCUGGGGCAAGUUCUGUAUAUCGUUGAAUUUCCCUCCUCUCUCCACUGCCCACC
rnacentral:misc_RNA from 1 species